UACGUAGGGUGCAAGCGUUGUCCGGAAUUAUUGGGCGUAAAGAGCUCGUAGGUGGUCUGUCGCGUCUGCUGUGAAAACUCAGGGCUUAACCCUGAGCUUGCAGUGGGUACGGGCAGACUAGAGUGCGGUAGGGGAGACUGGAAUUCCUGGUGUAGCGGUGAAAUGCGCAGAUAUCAGGAGGAACACCGGUGGCGAAGGCGGGUCUCUGGGCCGUAACUGACGCUGAGGAGCGAAAGCAUGGGGAGCGAACAGG
rnacentral:rRNA from 1 species